rnacentral:rRNA from 1 species
ACUACGGGAGGCAGCAGUGAGGAAUAUUGGUCAAUGGGCGGAAGCCUAAACCAGCCAAGUAGCGUGCAGGAUGACGGCCCUACGGGUUGUAAACUGCUUUUAUACGGGAAUAACGCGCCUUACGUGUAGGGCUUUGCAUGUACCGUAUGAAUAAGGACCGGCUAAUUCCGUGCCAGCAGCCGCGGUAAUACGGAAGGUCCGGGCGUUAUCCGGAUUUAUUGGGUUUAAAGGGAGCGUAGGCCGCAUGUCAAGCGUGCUGUGAAAUGUCCGGGCUCAACCCGGGCCUUGCAGCGCGAACUGGCGUGCUUGAGUCCGCGGAAAGCAGGCGGAAUUCGUCGUGUAGCGGUGAAAUGCUUAGAUAUGACGAAGAACCCCGAUUGCGAAGGCAGCUUGCUGCAGCGGAACUGACGCUGAUGCUCGAAAGCGCGGGUAUCGAACAGGAUUAGAUACCCCAGUAGUC